rnacentral:rRNA from 1 species
AGGGAAUCUUCCACAAUGGACGAAAGUCUGAUGGAGCAACGCCGCGUGAGUGAUGAAGGGUUUCGGCUCGUAAAACUCUGUUGUUGGAGAAGAACAGGUGAUAGAGCAACUGUUAUCAUCUUGACGGUAUCCAACCAGAAAGCCACGGCUAACUACGUGCCAGCAGCCGCGGUAAUACGUAGGUGGCAAGCGUUGUCCGGAUUUAUUGGGCGUAAAGCGAGCGCAGGCGGUUUUUUAGGUCUGAUGUGAAAGCCUUCGGCUUAACCGGAGAAGGGCAUCGGAAACCGGGAGACUUGAGUGCAGAAGAGGACAGUGGAACUCCAUGUGUAGCGGUGAAAUGCGUAGAUAUAUGGAAGAACACCAGUGGCGAAGGCGGCUGUCUGGUCUGUAACUGACGCUGAGGCUCGAAAGCAUGGGUAGCAAAACAGGAUUAGAUACCCUGGUAGUCCAUGCCGUAAACGAUGAGUGCUAAGUGUUGGAGGGUUUCCGCCCUUCAGUGCUGCAGCUAACGCAUUAAGCACUCCGCCUGGGGAGUACGACCGCAAGGUUGAAAC